UCUCAGAUCGUAUAGUGGUCAGUAUUUCUGCUUGUCAUCGAGCAGAGACAAUUCGCAGGAGGCCGGGGUUCGAUUCCCCGUCUGAGAG
rfam:Phaeosphaeria nodorum SN15 scaffold_34, whole genome shotgun sequence.